rnacentral:sRNA from 1 species
ACUCAACGUUAAUUCUUUAAAAAGGGUGAGUUUAAGUUGUAAAAGCAUGCUGCUAGUGCUGCCAGUACUAAAUUUAUUUUAGUUACACAGUAUCUUGAGCAGACCCUUGAUCAGCUUGUUAGCCCUAAACUUGUUUUUUAAGGAGUUU